GACGAACGCUGGCGGCGUGCUUAACACAUGCAAGUCGAACGGAAAGGCCCUGCUUUUGUGGGGUGCUCGAGUGGCGAACGGGUGAGUAACACGUGAGUAACCUGCCCUUGACUUUGGGAUAACUUCAGGAAACUGGGGCUAAUACUGGAUAGGAGCUCCUGCUGCAUGGUGGGGGUUGGAAAGUUUCGGCGGUUGGGGAUGGACUCGCGGCUUAUCAGCUUGUUGGUGGGGUAGUGGCUUACCAAGGCUUUGACGGGUAGCCGGCCUGAGAGGGUGACCGGCCACAUUGGGACUGAGAUACGGCCCAGACUCCUACGGGAGGCAGCAGUGGGGAAUAUUGCACAAUGGGCGGAAGCCUGAUGCAGCAACGCCGCGUGCGGGAUGACGGCCUUCGGGUUGUAAACCGCUUUCGCCUGUGACGAAGCGUGAGUGACGGUAAUGGGUAAAGAAGCACCGGCUAACUACGUGCCAGCAGCCGCGGUGAUACGUAGGGUGCGAGCGUUGUCCGGAUUUAUUGGGCGUAAAGGGCUCGUAGGUGGUUGAUCGCGUCGGAAGUGUAAUCUUGGGGCUUAACCCUGAGCGUGCUUUCGAUACGGGUUGACUUGAGGAAGGUAGGGGAGAAUGGAAUUCCUGGUGGAGCGGUGGAAUGCGCAGAUAUCAGGAGGAACACCAGUGGCGAAGGCGGUUCUCUGGGCCUUUCCUGACGCUGAGGAGCGAAAGCGUGGGGAGCGAACAGGCUUAGAUACCCUGGUAGUCCACGCUGUAAACGGUGGGUACUAGGUGUGGGGUCCAUUCCACGGGUUCCGUGCCGUAGCUAACGCUUUAAGUACCCCGCCUGGGGAGUACGGCCGCAAGGCUAAAACUCAAAGGAAUUGACGGGGCCCCGCACAAGCGGCGGAGCAUGCGGAUUAAUUCGAUGCAACGCGUAGAACCUUACCUGGGUUUGACAUGGAUCGGGAGCGCUCAGAGAUGGGUGUGCCUCUUUUGGGGUCGGUUCACAGGUGGUGCAUGGCUGUCGUCAGCUCGUGUCGUGAGAUGUUGGGUUAAGUCCCGCAACGAGCGCAACCCUUGUUCACUGUUGCCAGCACGUUAUGGUGGGGACUCAGUGGAGACCGCCGGGGUCAACUCGGAGGAAGGUGGGGAUGACGUCAAGUCAUCAUGCCCCUUAUGUCCAGGGCUUCACGCAUGCUACAAUGGCUGGUACAGAGAGUGGCGAGCCUGUGAGGGUGAGCGAAUCUCGGAAAGCCGGUCUCAGUUCGGAUUGGGGUCUGCAACUCGACCUCAUGAAGUCGGAGUCGCUAGUAAUCGCAGAUCAGCAACGCUGCGGUGAAUACGUUCCCGGGGCU
rnacentral:rRNA from 1 species